AACGAACGCUGGCGGCAUGCCUAACACAUGCAAGUCGAACGAGAUCUUCGGGUCUAGUGGCGCACGGGUGCGUAACGCGUGGGAAUCUGCCCUUUGGUUCGGAAUAACAGUUGGAAACGACUGCUAAUACCGGAUGAUGACGAAAGUCCAAAGAUUUAUCGCCAGAGGAUGAGCCCGCGUAGGAUUAGCUAGUUGGUGUGGUAAAGGCGCACCAAGGCGACGAUCCUUAGCUGGUCUGAGAGGAUGAUCAGCGACCCUGGGACUGAGACACGGCCCAGACUAGUACGGGAGGCAGCGGUGGGGAAUAUUGGACAAUGGGCGAAAGCCUGAUCCAGAGAUGCCGCGUGAGUGAUGAAGGCCUUAGAGUUGUAAAGCUCUUUUACCCGGGAUGAUAAUGACAGUACCGGGAGAAUAAGCACCGGCUAACUCCGUGCCAGCCGCCGCCGUAA
rnacentral:rRNA from 1 species